CCCUUAGAUGUUCUGGGCCGCACGCGCGCUACAAUGGCAGACUCAGCGAGUUACCUCUGUCGAAAGGCACAGGGAAUCUUUACAGUAUCUGCCGUGAUGGGGAUAGACCCUUGUAAUUUUUGGUCUUCAACGAGGAAUUCCUAGUAAACGCAAGUCAUUAACUUGCAUUGAUUACGUCCCUGCCCUUUGUACACACCGCCCGCCGCACCUACCGAUUGAAUGGUCCGGUGAAGUCCUCGGACCCAGUUGAACCUCGAGUUGAACAGGGAAAGUUGACUAAAUCUUACCAUUUAGAGGAAGGUGAAGUCGUAACA
rnacentral:rRNA from 1 species